rnacentral:rRNA from 1 species
AGCGAACGCAGGCGGCAGGCCUAACACAUGCGAGUCGAACGAACCUUUCGGGGUUAGUGGCGGACGGGUGAGUAACACGUGGGAACGUGCCUUUAGGUUCGGAAUAACUCAGGGAAACUUGUGCUAAUACCGAAUGUGCCCUUCGGGGGAAAGAUUUAUCGCCUUUAGAGCGGCCCGCGUCUGAUUAGCUAGUUGGUUGAGGUAAUGGCUCACCAAGGCGACGAUCAGUAGCUGGUCUGAGAGGAUGAUCAGCCACAUUGGGACUGAGACACGGCCCAAACUCCUACGGGAGGCAGCAGUGGGGAAUCUUGCGCAAUGGGCGAAAGCCUGACGCAGCCAUGCCGCGUGAAUGAUGAAGGUCUUAGGAUUGUAAAAUUCUUUCACCGGGGACGAUAAUGACGGUACCCGGAGAAGAAGCCCCGGCUAACUUCGUG